AAAUCAACUGUCAGAAGAUUCCUGAGUCUCCCAGGAAGGGGCCUGCCUCAGUGUCCCUGACAUGUUCCAUCACUGGCCUCUGCCCGAGGCCGAGGUGUGUUCAGAGCAUCCAGCUGAAGCCCGCAACCAGUCACCUCGGCAGAGAACUACUGGAAUUCUCCAGCCCCUCCCAGCCCCACACCAACCUCCAAAGCUGUUAUUGCACUGCUGAUACACCUUCCAAUCAGCACAUCCUGGCAUUGAAGAAAUACGUUUGGAACACUUUGCAAAUUAUGUACCGGACAUGUUCACUGGCGUACUAAAGAUUCUGUGAGAGAAGUUGGUUUCUUCUGCUUGCAUCCAAGUCCCAGCUGAGCCACAGGCAAUCUCAGUGUAUCAAAGGAGUAAACGUGCAGCUGCUCUGGUUGAAGAUGAG